rnacentral:rRNA from 1 species
UUAAAGUUGUUGCAUUUCAAAAAGCUCGUAGUUGAACCUUGGGCCUGGCUGGCCGGUCCGCCUCACCGCGUGCACUGGUCCGGCCGGGCCUUUCCCUCUGGGGAGCCGCAUGCCCUUCACUGGGUGUGUCGGGGAACCAGGACUUUUACUUUGAACAAAUCAGAUCGCUUAAAGAAGGCCUAUGCUCGAAUACAUUAGCAUGGAAUAAUA